AGUGAACGCUGGCGGUAGGCCUAACACAUGCAAGUCGAACGGCAGCACAGUAAGAGCUUGCUCUUACGGGUGGCGAGUGGCGGACGGGUGAGGAAUACAUCGGAAUCUACUUUUUCGUGGGGGAUAACGUAGGGAAACUUACGCUAAUACCGCAUACGACCUACGGGUGAAAGCAGGGGAUCUUCGGACCUUGCGCGAUUGAAUGAGCCGAUGUCGGAUUAGCUAGUUGGCGGGGUAAAGGCCCACCAAGGCGACGAUCCGUAGCUGGUCUGAGGGGAUGAUCAGCCACACUGGAACUGAGACACGGUCCAGACUCCUACGGGAGGCAGCAUUGGGGAAUAUUGGACAAUGGGCGCAAGCCUGAUCCAGCCAUACCGCGUGGGUGAAGAAGGCCUUCGGGUUGUAAAGCCCUUUUGUUGGGAAAGAAAAGCAGCAGGUUAAUACCCCGCUGUUCUGACGGUACCCAAAGAAUAAGCACCGGCUAACUUCGUG
rnacentral:rRNA from 1 species